AAUGGAGGAAACUCUGAUCCAGCCAUCCCGCGUGCAGGAUGACGGCCUAUGGGUUGUAAACUGCUUUUAGAUAGGACGAACGCCUAGAUUUAUCUGGGCCUGACGGUACUAUCAGAAUAAGCACCGGCUAACUCCGUGCCAGCAGCCGCGGUAAUACGGAGGGUGCAAGCGUUAUCCGGAAUCACUGGGUUUAAAGGGUGCGUAGGCGGCUUUGUAAGUCAGAUGUGAAAGCCCACCGCUUAACGGUGGAACUGCAUUUGAUACUGCAAGGCUUGAAUCAGGCUGAGGUCAGCGGAAUGUGUCAUGUAACGGUGAAAUGCAUAGAUAUGACAUAGAACACCAAUUGCGAAGGCAGCUGGCUAGACCUGCAUUGACGCUGAGGCACGAAAGCGUGGGGAGCGAACAGGAUU
rnacentral:rRNA from 1 species